rnacentral:rRNA from 1 species
UGAAUUUAAGCAUAUAAGUAAGCGGAGGACAAGAAACUAAAUAGGAUUCCCCCAGUAAUGGCGAAUGAACAGGGAAGAGCUCAGCAUGGAAAUCGGGGCCUCCCGGCCUUGAAUUGUAGUCUUGAGAUGUACUGCCAACGGAGGCGCAGAUGUAAGCCUCUUGGAAAAGAGCAUCAACGAGGGUGAGAGUCCCGUUUGUCAUCUGCAGUCCCCCGUGCACGGUGUACAUUCUAAGAGUCACGUUCCUCGGGAUUGGAGCGCAAAGUGGGUGGUAAAUUUCAUCUAAAGCUAAAUAUUGGUUCGAGACCGAUAGCAAACAAGUACCAUGAGGGAAAGGUGAAAAGGACUUUGAAAAGAGAGUUAAAAGUGCCUGAAAUUGCUGAAAGGGAAGCGAAUGGAACCAGUGUUCUUGAUGAGAUUGUCGCGUACUCUGGUGAUUGCUGGGUGCUCCACCGCAAGGGGGGCAUUUGGUUUUGAGCUAGAUGUGCGUGGUGUUUCUUGUCUUGUGUGUCACCGUCGGUGCACGAGCGAGUAAACCUCCAGGGAGAUGGUAACUCGUCUGCGGAUGAGUGAAUGUCUUUGGUAGUACUCAUUUGUGUAUCGAUCCCUGCGUGUCUGGUUGCAGUGUUUGAGUCGUCUGGAAGCUUCUGAAAGGCUUGCCCUCGAUGAACUUUCUGGGCUCCUUGAGCAUCUCCC